rnacentral:SRP_RNA from 1 species
GCCGGGUGCGGUGGCGCGCGCCUGUAAUCCAAGCUACUGGGAGGCUGAGGCUGGCGGAUCGUUUGAGCUCAGGAGCUCUGAGCUGCAGCGGACUAUGCCGAUCGGGUGUCCGCACUAAGUUCGGCAUCGAUAUGGUGCUCCUGGGGGAGCUCGGGACCACCAGGUCGCCUAAGGAGGGGUGCACCGGCCCAGGUCGGAAACGAAGCAGGUCAAAGCCCCCGUGCCGCUCAGUAGUGGGAUCGCGCCUGUGAAUAGACGCUGUAGUGCAGCCUGAGUAAUACAGCGGGACCCAGUCUUUU